AUUGAACGCUGGCGGCAUGCCUUACACAUGCAAGUCGAACGGCAGCACGGGAGCAAUCCUGGUGGCGAGUGGCGAACGGGUGAGUAAUAUAUCGGAACGUGCCCAGUAGUGGGGGAUAACUGCUCGAAAGAGCAGCUAAUACCGCAUACGACCUGAGGGUGAAAGGGGGGGAUCGCAAGACCUCUCGCUAUUGGAGCGGCCGAUAUCAGAUUAGCUAGUUGGUGGGGUAAAGGCCUACCAAGGCAACGAUCUGCAGUUGGUCUGAGAGGACGGCCAGCCACACUGGGACUGAGACACGGCCCAGACUCCUACGGGAGGCAGCAGUGGGGAAUUUUGGACAAUGGGCGCAAGCCUGAUCCAGCAAUGCCGCGUGCAGGAAGAAGGCCUUCGGGUUGUAAACUGCUUUUGUCAGGGAAGAAAUCCUCUAGGUUAAUACCCUUGGGGGGAUGACGGUACCUGAAGAAUAAGCACCGGCUAACUACGUGCCAGCAGCCGCAGUAAUAC
rnacentral:rRNA from 1 species